GAGUUUGAUCCUGGCUCAGAAUCAACGCUGGCGGCGUGCCUCAGACAUGCAAGUCGAACGGUUAAGACUCCCUUCGGGGAGUGUAUAAAGUGGCGCACGGGUGAGUAACACGUGGGUAAUCUACCUCCGGGUGGGGGAUAACCUGCCGAAAGGUGGGCUAAUACCGCAUAAUGCAGCGGCACCGAAUGGUGACAGUUGUUAAAGGAGCAAUCCGCCUGGAGAGGAGCCUGCGGCCGAUUAGCUAGUUGGUGGGGUAAUGGCCUACCAAGGCGACGAUCCGUAGCGGGUCUGAGAGGAUGGCCCGCCACACUGGGACUGAGACACGGCCCAGACUCCUACGGGAGGCAGCAGUGGGGAAUUUUCCGCAAUGGGCGAAAGCCUGACGGAGCAAUGCCGCGUGAGGGAAGAAGGCCUUCGGGUUGUAAACCUCUUUUCUGGGGGACGAAGCUCUGACGGUACCCCAGGAAUAAGCCUCGGCUAACUCUGUGCCAGCAGCCGCGGUAAGACAGAGGAGGCGAGCGUUAUCCGGAGUCAUUGGGCGUAAAGGGUACGUAGGCGGCUAGUCAAGUCUGAGGUUAAAGACCACAGCUUAACUGUGGGAAGGCCUUGGAAACUGACUGGCUAGAGUGGGGCAGGGGUUGCGGGAAUUCCCGGUGUAGCGGUGAAAUGCGUAGAUAUCGGGAAGAACACCUGAGGCGAAAGCGCGCAACUGGGCCCUAACUGACGCUGAGGUACGAAAGCUAGGGGAGCGAAUGGGAUUAGAUACCCCAGUAGUCCUAGCCGUAAACGAUGGACACUAGACGUUGGGCCGUACCAACCCCGGUCAGUGUCGUAGCUAACGCGUUAAGUGUCUCGCCUGGGGAGUACGCACGCAAGUGUGAACUCA
rnacentral:rRNA from 1 species